rnacentral:misc_RNA from 1 species
AACCUAGCACACCUGCGGUGUGUACCUGCGGAAGGAUCAUUACCGAGUUAGGGUAGUCACUCACUGCCCGACCUCCCAACCCUGUGUCUAUCACACUUUGUCGUUGCUUCGGCGGACCGGUUGACCAACUGGUCAUGACCGCCGGGGGCUGGCUCUGUCCCCCCUGGAGAGCGUCCGCCGAUGGCCCAACCACAAAACUCUUGUACCGAAACGUGUCGUCUGAAUUAUGUUUGAGAAAUC